UUACCUUCACGCGGACGAACAGAACUCACGAUCUGCUGCUCGCGACUUCUCUUAGGCUAGGGCACGCGAUUUCCCCACCGCCAGCCACUCUCUUCCUUUCUUCUUCCUCACCACAGGCCGGCGGCUCUUUCCUUACCUUCACUGCCGCCGGCCGGUCCCCACAUCCAUUUCUCCUCUUCUCCGAUCUGCUCAACUCCGCGACGACAGCAGCUCCGGCGGUCUCUUUGAGCGGACAGCAGUGUGGGUCUAGGGUUCUCUUGACGGCGGAGCGUUCUCCUCCGGCAAGGUAUUCCUUCAUCAUUCCUACCUCAACGGACAUCUUCCUGUGGACGGCGUUCCGAAAGCAGAGGAUUCCAGCAGAGGAAUCCGACUGUGCCUUAUUCUCCAGCGAGCUUCUUCUCAACUUCAUCACUGACGUUGUUGGAUCUCCUGGUGACGGCGUUCUGUAAACAGAAGGUUCCAUCUCAGUGCAUACUCCAAUUCCAGCACAAGCUCUCCAAUUCCGGCAGAUCACUCAAGCAAGCUGGUCGUGAUCAGGGGUAGUCGUUGUGUGCUGUUCACCAGUGAUGGCGUUCCAGAUCUGGUACCUUUGUGUGACGGCGAAGGGUAGUUGAAUGGGUGUAUGAUCGCAGAGGAGUGGAUUUGGUGGAGAUGGAGAUGUUGCUAGAACUUUACCCAAAGCAUUGGCCAAGAGAGGACAUCGUGUAAUGGUUCCUUGGCGUGUCCCAUGUGGUUGAUUUUUCUGAUAAGGGAUUUAUGAUAUGUACCCCAAUGUGCCUGGGUAAUACACAACAUUGCACAUCAGGAUGAUUUCUUGAAUUUCAUAAUUAUGUUCAUGGCGAGCUAUGCUUAUGUUAAGAACCCUUAUCCGAGAUCUAAAAUGGUUGAAGUACUAAAUUAUUGGUUACCAAAAAGAAGGGAUCAUUGUAGUUUGAGUUAGAGCUUUGGAUUAUUCAAGACAAAGUUCCAGCAAUUUCAAAAGUUGAAACUAAAGAUCUUUAAACUGUUUCAAUUUUUACGAGUUAUUGUUAAUUUUGGUGACUUUACUGUUACCAAGAAAUAUUACUGGUGGAUUAAUUAAUUCUUUUCUCUUUUUCAGAUUGAAAGGGUAGCUAGCAUGCUAAUUCACUUUCUCUUGCAACUUGCUGAUCUUCAACGGAGGUUUCGUAACAUAAAAGAUCCUGAAAAAUAUGAAUUUAGAACCAGACAAUUGUGAAAACAAGUUAGUGCAAUGCCCAUUUGAUUUUUCGUAUGAUCUUAAAUUACAUUGUUGUUUAAUGCCUGUGAAUUUGCUGUGAAAGAUUGUCGAGAUUUAUGUUCAUAUUGCAAGAGGUGAUAAAGAGAAUGUAUUUCUUGUUGUAAUCUUGAAGGAUGGAUAAGCAUACAAUGAGAGGUGUCUCCUAUGCACGAUUAUCUUGUAUGGAUAAGGAUGCCAAUCAGCCUUUUCUAUCAUGAUUUAUGUAGUGUUAAAUUUUUUGAAGUUUUAUAAAUAGUUGUUUACAUCUACAGUUGAUAUUCUCUCGAAUAUUGACAAAGAUGGUAAGGUGAUCCAAGAGUUUGUUCAGUUUGAUUUCAAAACAAAAUCAACAACUUUUGAAGCAUUGAAUGUUAAGGCUAUUUUUGGAGAGAUAUUAGAUAAAUUUCUUGUCUCGAUUCAAGCCUGAAUCGGGUUAACAAAUUCAUUUGGUAUCUUGUUAAGAAUAGCCUCAAUAUUCAAUGCUUCAGAAGCUGCUUAUUUGGCUUUAAGCUAAACAAACUUUUGGAUCACCUUACCAUGUUCACCAAUUUUCGAUAGAAUAUCAACUGCAAAUGUAAACACUGUUCUAUUUAUAAAACUUUAGAAAAUUUAACACUGCAUAAAUCAUGAUAGAAAAGGUUGAUCCUUAUCUAUGCAAGACAAUCGUGCAUAGGAGAUACCUCAUUGUAUGCCCAUCCAUUCCACAGCAGGAAACACAUUCUCUUUAUCAUAUCUUGCAAUAUGAAUAUAAAUCUUGACAAUCUUUCAUAACACAUUCACAGACAUUAAAUAAAAAUAUAAUUUAAGAUUAUACGAAAAGUCAAAUGAACAUUGCACUAAUUUGUUUUCACAAUUGUGUGGUUCUAAAUUCAUAUUUUUUAGAAUCUUGUAUAUUGUGAAACCUCCGUUGAGGAUCAACAAGUUGCAAGAGAAAGUGAAUUAGUAUGGUAGCUACCCUUUCAACCUGAAAAAGAGAAAAUAAUUAAUUAAUCCAAUAAUAAUAUUUCCUGAUGAUAAUAAAGUCACCAGAAUUAACAAUAACUUAUAAGAAUUGAAACAGUUUAAAUCAUUGAUGGACAAGAGUGAUUCACCAAGCAUUCUCGCCUAUGGAAGACAAUUGUGCAUAGAAGAUACCUUCUUAUUGUAUGACCAUCCAUCUUUCAAGAUUGGUGAAGAUGGUAAUGUAAUUCAGAAGUUUUUUCAGCUUGGUCUCAAAGUCAAAUCAGCAACUUCUAAAGCAUUGAAUGUUGAGGCUAUGCUUGAAGAGAUAUCAAAUGAAUUCCUUGAUCCGAUAUAGUAUAACUGAUGAGAGAUCCUGUCAUUUUACCUUCAUCAAGAAUAUAAGUAGACCGGCCAGUUAUCCAAAGGCGCUUGCUGAGUGACCGAUCCAUUCAACCAUUCCCAUCUCACUCAAGACAUGCUGAUACUCAACACAGAGCUGAAACAAAGAAUCCAAAAUUUCAUCAGAUCUGUAGAGGAAACGAAGCUGAGGGAAUGAAGCUUCUGAAGAUGUUUGUGGUUGAGUAAAUGCAGAUCAAAGCUGUUUACGAAAAUGACAAAGGGUGAAGCUGAAGGGCCACCUUUCUAGUCUUCAAUAGUGGGCGAAAUUGUUAUCCAUAUUCCAACACCUUUGUGACCGACAAAGACACAUUCAAGGCCUUACAAAAGGCUUCUGCUAUGAAUUGUAAAACUUUUCUUAUUCUUUCAUUACAUAACCUUUAGAGAAUUUAUACUCGUUUACAAGGUUUUUCCA